rnacentral:pre_miRNA from 1 species
AUAAAUUGGGUGAGGAUUGAUACUUACGGGUUCCAUGAACGCUUACUUCGCUCCGUCAAUGCCUGCUCUAUCGGUUCCCCAGCGGGC